rnacentral:rRNA from 1 species
UACGUAGGGACCAAGCGUUGUUCGGAUUUACUGGGCGUAAAGGGCGCGUAGGCGGCCGCCUAAGUCAGACGUGAAAUCCCCAAGCUUAACUUGGGAACUGCGUCUGAUACUGGGUGGCUUGAGUUCGGGAGAGGAAUGUGGAAUUCCAGGUGUAGCGGUGAAAUGCGUAGAUAUCUGGAGGAACACCGGUGGCGAAGGCGGCAUUCUGGACCGAAACUGACGCUGAGGCGCGAAAGCCAGGGGAGCAAACGGG